rnacentral:tRNA from 1 species
AGGGGUAUCGCCUAGUUGGCCUAAGGCAUCGGACUUUGACUCCGAUAUCACUGGUUCGAAUCCAGUUACCCCCGCCA